GAUGAACGCUGGCGGCGUGCCUAACACAUGCAAGUCGAGCGAUUUACUUCGGUAAAGAGCGGCGGACGGGGGAGUAACGCGUGGGUAACCUGCCCUAUACACCCGAAUAACAUACCGAAAGGUAGCCUAAUCCGAGUUAAUAUAGAAGAUCCACAUGGAUUUCUUAUCAAAGCUGAGGCGGUAUAGGAUGGACCCGCGUCUGAUUAGCUAGUUGGUAAGGUAACGGCUUACCAAGGCGACGAUCAGUAGCCGACCUGAGAGGGUGAUCGGCCACAUUGGAACUGAGACACGGUCCAAACUCCUACGGGAGGCAGCAGUGGGGAAUAUUGCACAAUGGGCGAAAGCCUGAUGCAGCAACGCCGCGUGAGUGAUGAAGGCCUUCGGGUCGUAAAACUCUGUCCUCAAGGAAGAUAAUGACGGUACUUGAGGAGGAAGCCCCGGCUAACUACGUGCCAGCCGCCGCGGUAAUAC
rnacentral:rRNA from 1 species